rnacentral:rRNA from 1 species
GAUGAACGCUGGCGGCGUGCCUAAUACAUGCAAGUAGAACGCUGAAGCUUGGUGCUUGCACCGAGCGGAUGAGUUGCGAACGGGUGAGUAACGCGUAGGUAACCUGCCUCUUAGCGGGGGAUAACUAUUGGAAACGAUAGCUAAUACCGCAUAAAAGUCGAUAUCGCAUGAUAUUGAUUUGAAAGGUGCAAAUGCAUCACUAAGAGAUGGACCUGCGUUGUAUUAGCUAGUUGGUGAGGUAACGGCUCACCAAGGCGACGAUACAUAGCCGACCUGAGAGGGUGGUCGGCCACACUGGGACUGAGACACGGCCCAGACUCCUACGGGAGGCAGCAGUAGGGAAUCUUCGGCAAUGGGGGCAACCCUGACCGAGCAACGCCGCGUGAGUGCAGAAGGUUUUCGGAUCGUAAAGCUCUGUUGUAAGAGAAGAACGAGUGUGAGAGUGGAAAGUUCACACUGUGACGGUAACUUACCAGAAAGGGACGGCUAACUACGUG